GGUCUGGUUUCCUGCAUCAGAACAUUUCCAGGCCAGUGGAGGAGUGUGGUUUGUGCUGGAAGCUGCUGUUCUCUGUCUGUCCUGCUGUUUCUCUGCUCUCAGCUCUCUUCUCCUCACUGCUGGUCUACCUGCUUUGCCUGAAGAAAGCAAAUGAUGAAGCUGAAGAUAAGAGAUGUGACAUUUCAAGGCAGACGGAAGGAGCCCAGGAUGAAAAUGUUUGUUACGCUGCCCUGGAAAUCCAUCCGCCAUCACAGAGGACGAAGAGGAAGAGGACGAUCCAAAGUUCAGAUUUCAGUACAUACUCUGCCAUCAAGACAUGAGGAGAUUCAUAUUUAACACAGAAG